rnacentral:rRNA from 1 species
UACGUAGGGUGCAAGCGUUGUCCGGAAUUAUUGGGCGUAAAGAGCUCGUAGGCGGCUCGUUACGUCGGCUGUGAAAACCCGGGGCUCAACCCCGGGCCUGCAGUCGAUACGGGCGAGCUAGAGUUCGGCAGGGGAGACUGGAGUUCCUGGUGUAGCGGUGAAAUGCGCAGAUAUCAGGAGGAACACCGGUGGCGAAGGCUGGUCUCUGGGCCGAUACUGACGCUGAGGAGCGAAAGCGUGGGGAGCGAACAGG